GGACUAUCAUUAGAGAAGAAGGGACUCCUGCUCUUCUAAAGGAUUGAUUAUCACCAGUUCAUUAGGAGCAGAAGAAUCAGAAUUUCUAUGAUUCCAGUCUACAACAAAGCUACUUCCUUGGAUUUUGUAG